UUGAGCUCGGAGCUGACCCAAGCCAUGAAAUUACCCAGCAGAACCCAGAGCACCGGGAUUUGCACCUUGUCCAGUUUGAUCCUCGUGUCUCUGGAGGGCAGAUGAGCUGGGAAUUGUGCCCCCCACGCCUCUCUCUGCCGGUUUGGAGCCUGUGGCAGGUGUUGGAAGGGAGGACGUGCAUUCCCUCUGUGCCACCCGCUGUUACUCACUGGGAAAUUUGGCAAUGCUGGCCUUUGUUUAUACAGGGGAUUAAGGCUGGCUUCAGCUGCUGGGGUUUGGCAGGGGGCAGAGCACAGCUCCAGCUGAACCCAGCUCUGCCCUGCAGCCAGGGAAGAAUUGCUGCCUGCAGGAGGAGAAGUGCAAACCAGCAGUUAGUGAAGCACUGAUGGAUUGUGAGGUAUGCAAGGGCAUCUGCGUGCUGUAGGCUGAAAAAACAAAGCGUG
rnacentral:lncRNA from 12 species